UUCUGCCACUGGGAUAAACAAACGAAAAAAGAAAUAGAUGUUAUAAAAAAAUAAAAUCCAAGUCAGAUCAAAGGGGAUGUGGUGGAGGAUUCAGCAACUGCCACCCUUAAGCAAAGAACAGUAAUGAAGAAAUGAGUUUUGGCAGCCCAGCCAAUGGGAUAUGAAAGAAAUUAAUCCAGAAGGGAUGUAAUGACCUGAAAAAAAUGAUGAGCAAAGUCCAGAAAGAUUAGAAGAGAGAAAAAGGCAGCAGACAGAAUGGACUGCUGUGCAACAGGGAAUUAAACUGAAAUCAUUAAAUUCUUUCUGCUUAGCACUUGAGAGAACAUUUCUAUCCAGCCUGCCUAAGGUUGGAAAUGUUUGAGGAGGCAUUUAUCAUUAAAGCGGUGGCCUUUGCUCCUAAACCUUCGCCUCACAAGUGCAGUAACGAAAGCUGCUAAUUAAAGGAGGGAAAACAAGCAGGAGUUGAACACAAAGGGGCACCCCUUCCUCAUCAGCACAGAACAAUAGACCAGCUCUGUACGCUGCCCCAUGUAAGGAUCGGUUUGGGGAAGACCGUGCUACCCAUCCAGGCCGUCCACUUAAUUCUACUGCCCUAAGUACAGGAGAGGAGGAAAAGACACUAUCACUCUAUACAAUAAUAAUCCAAGACAGGCUAGGUUAUUCUCAAUAACAAACAAACCUCCAAUCGCAGUAAUUUGAUACAGCAAAAGUUGUUCUCUCACAAUCACAAAAUCCACUGUGGGCCCAGGCAAUCGUCCAGAGCAGCUUCCCCCAUAGAGCGACUCAGUAAUGGAGACCAACAGAGGCGCCACCACCAUGUAGAUGCACCAUCUGGAAGAUCGCCCUCCUUGUUCCAUCCUGCAGAAGGAAGUGCUGUUCUCUCACCAGUGAUUCAGUGCUUCGUCCAGGAAGUCAUGAAUGGCACGCUCCGUGGCCAAAUUUCACAGGACCCUAACUGUAAAAAGGCAAAAAACCUUCAUUCUCCCACGAACUUAGAUACAGAAAAUCAAACAAGGGUCAGCACUAAA